rnacentral:lncRNA from 1 species
CGAUUUCGUACGUAUAGUUUAAAUUUUUUAAAAAUUUAUAUAGUAAAAAUAAAUAAAUAAAAAUAUUUUUAAUUUAAUUAUGUACCAGAUCUGAUUUGAAAAUCAUAGUUAGGAUAUUGACACAAAUAUGCUACUAUAAUCUGAAAUCUAAAAAAGAAAACAAACGUUAGUAAAAUCGAAACGGAGAUCAGAUCUCCAUACCUUUGGAUCUGCAGAUAGCCGAAG